rnacentral:rRNA from 2 species
GGGAUGACGUCAAGUCAUCAUGGCCCUUACGACCAGGGCUACACACGUGCUACAAUGGCGCAUACAAAGAGAAGCGACCUCGCGAGAGCAAGCGGACCUCAUAAAGUGCGUCGUAGUCCGGAUUGGAGUCUGCAACUCGACUCCAUGAAGUCGGAAUCGCUAGUAAUCGUGGAUCAGAAUGCCACGGUGAAUACGUUCCCGGGCCUUGUACACACCGCCCGUCACACCAUGGGAGUGGGUUGCAAAAGAAGUAGGUAGCUUAACCUUCGGGAGGGCGCUUACCACUUUGUGAUUCAUGACUGGGGUGAAGUCGUAACAAGGUAACCGUAGGGGAACCUGCGGUUGGAUCACCUCCUUA